UCUUGCCAGCCGGAUGGCUCUAGGGAUCUUGCAGAUGUCGUUCGACAUGAGGGUUAUGUGGCUAGUCUCCAUUGCAACGGCAGAACCUGAAACCCCCAUGGAGAUCCCGACAUCGGCCAUGGCUAAUGCAGUUACAUUUCUCAAUGCUUGGAGUAUUCUCCACAAAGUAAUAAGCCAACCAUGAUUGCUAGCAAAAAUCCUACUUCUGCCUACACUCACCAGUAAAGAAGCAUCUCCAGAGAAACCUUGCUGCUUUUGGACUGGAACUCCACAACUUUAAACUCUCCUUUCGUUAUCGUCCCGGUCUUGUCG